UGGGACUCGGCAGAGGCAACACCAUGAAACUUCCAAGCCGAAGCAAUAGCAUGGCUCCCCCUUCAACAAUGGCUGGUCAUGCUUCGCUGCAGAUGAAUAUGUUUCUGAGGGCUUGGAAACAGCGUCCUUCAAAAGGUAAAUUGUUUCCAGGAUUUCUUAUGCUGCUAUAUAUCCUGACGUGUUCUGUAAUUUGUAGUAACGUUGUUAUGUUUCGGUUUCUUUGCUCUGAAUGAUUCUAGUUCCUCUUGUUUGAUCAGUAAUGUUGUCUGAUGAUUAUUCAUGGAAGAUGUUUUCUAGAUCAUCGAGGAGAUCUGCUUCCCAGUUCCACUACUUGAAUGAAAUAUGGGUAAACGCAGUCAGAUGUGUACAAACGGCCUGAUCUAAAACAGAAAAUUCAUUUAGCGCCGUCAGUCUGUUCUCCAAACUAACUGCUGAUGAGCAUACCAUUUUCUUUCAGAAGAAUGAAAGGUAGACGGGCAUAUCUUGUUGCCGUCAAAAUGGUGCUAUUUGGGGGCAAAACGGCGCAGCAUACUAGCAGCUUACCUCUUUGAAUUCAGAAGCAACCCGUUAAACAUAAUGAUCAGGAAGGCAACCUGGUAAGUAGCAAGCACGCCCAUUUACUGCUUCAUGAUUGCAAUUUUCCAAGUUCAUACAAUGUGCAGAUAGAGAAGAACUCUUUCAUGCCUUUUUUGCUGGAACUUUCUAUAUCAAAAAGGGACAGACUAGGGGGAGUUUCGCUGCAAUAGAGAUCUUUCAUAGAUGGAUACCGAUAUGAUCUUAUGCAAGGGAUGAGAAACGAUGUAGUAGCAUGCCCUAGUAAGAAUCCUGAAAAGAGCCGACAGAGAACUCUUUCAUGGAUCAUGCCUUUUUUGCUGUACAUUGUAAGUAGUAGUUUUGUGAUCUUAGGCACGUCUCUGUUCAGCCUAGCCUGAGUACUGUCGCGUGCUUCUUUUGAUUUGUGUUAUUUCUAGCACUUGCUUCAAACAUAAGGGGGGCCAGGAAAAACAAUGCUAGAUUGUUAUCUCAACCAACAGCAUCUCUCGGUUUAACAAAUUGUACAAAACAUUAUUAUGUAACCCAUACAAUCACUACAAGAAAGGCAGUCAUAUGAUUCAAUUAAAAUGUCUGCGUCUGCUAUAAAAUACAGAAGGUGCAACCAUAAUUACCUAAAUUCGAGUAACUAAGUUCACCAAAGUUUCAUGGCCAGUAUAUACCAAAACAAGAAACACAUUUUCAGCCCUUUUUAACUUACAAAACACACACACUUAUCAGCUUUCCUCAGCACGGCACCCGCGUCUUCUAUGCAACAGUGGAAUUGAAUGAACAAAUGACCUGUUGCCGCGCACCUCGUGGAACAUGACAGCGCCUUGAAGCUCGCUGAAUCUCUUGGUCUCGUUUCAUCAUACGUAAUAAGCCAGCAAAGUAGCCAACGCAGUCCAGAACACCAAUAGUGGGAGCGUCCAUGGUUGUUUUGUCAGAGGGCUUGCACUAGGCAACCAUGGAUAGUCAUCGGGAGACGGCAUGACACAGUUAUCACCAUUGAAGUACACACGCCGUGGAAACGCCCAUCCUUUUUGGAAGGUGAAAGUCUCUGAGUCCUUCCGCAUGAGUAGUUCUGACUGCGCGUUUCCAAGCGGACCAGCUUGAUUGAGCAAAUCAUUGUAGAACUUCAUUCCCCAGAACAUUGCGGUGUCAUCUGAAAUGGGAGGGAUAAACACGUCAGAUAGGAGGCACAUCUCUAAGUCAGAAACUAAUUAAAAUAGUUCACAAGGUGACUUACUUAUGCGGCCUCCAUAUGGGGUAAGUGGCUUAUAGUUGAAGCUGAACAGCUUUGUGAUAUUAUCGAAGUUAGGAUGCUGGGCAACCAUGUUCCAGUCUGUAUAAUUCAUGCGGUAGUUGAAGUUUGUGAUGGUGACUUUCACUCUCCAGUAGUCCUUGUAGUUGAGCUUCACAUGCCAAUGGAUUCUUAUCGGGCACAUGUGGGAAGUACAUUGGACAAGAGGCUGGCCGGUUAAUUUGCCAGGGCCAUUGAUGGCAGAUUGCAAAUAAGGCGAAUUGUCACUGUAAAAUGGAUAGGAUUAGUAAGGAAUUUGCAGAAAGUUGGAAACUUAAUAGGAAGCAUAGUAAACAGUAAUGAUUAUUAACUCACUUUACACAGCUUCCUGGACGAGUAAUGUUGUUUUGGCAGCCGCAAGAGCACGUUGGGCAGUUCACAAUAGUGUCAUUAUAAAACGAUGAGAGAGAUACACAGCAGGUUGGAGUCUUCUGAGCAAGGAAUUGGGAGUAUGUGCAGGUUACAUUCCACGACACUGCCAAUAGUGAAUUUCUUUGGUUAAUACCCACUAAAUAAAGAACAUUAAAAGCAAUAAAGCAUAAAAACUAUAUGCAACCAAUCUGAUGUUUCCUGCAUUUGACAUGCAUUAUUUGCAAGUGAACAAAACUAGUUAAGAUAUUAUCAGGCUUAGCGGUGGUUUACUUUAAAAUAAAUAUCAGCUAACAUCAAUCCUAGGUGAUGAACUCAUCUCCUCUCGAAAAUGAAUCACUUCCCGUUUCAAUCCUUUCAAUCUUUCACUAAUCCUACACAUAUUAUAACAUAAAAUUCAUUCACAAUUAAGGAGCACAAACAUACAAAAGUGGUACUAAGAUGUGUUUAGCUCAAUUAGUGUAACUUGCUAAUGCAUUUGCGCAAAGUAUUAAAGCAAUAUAGAGCAAGCAGUGAAGAGCAAUGAGUGGGCAACUUACUGAGAGCUUGGGUUACCCUGCGCCCGUCUGACGAGUAAUACUUGGUAGGCCUGCCAACAAGAGCACGCCCACAUGUGUACCCUGGACCUGGGGCCCUAAGGGUGAAGUUUUUCGGCAUCUUAACCGUCUUAUUGGUAGUCCCAGCAAGACCUACACUAAUCUGGAAGGAGGAUGCUGCAUUUCCUGGGUCCUGGUUAAAUGUCUUUAUAACUCCUGCCUUGCAACAAUUAGCAAUUUGCUGGUUGAAUGGGGUGCCCGGAAGAAGAUCGACAAUCGUUGGAUCUCUCUUGCAGCAAUGGGGAGGGGCACUCUUGAAUUUGGAGCAAUCACCCUGCUCAGUAGCCUGAGCCCCCACCAUCGACCAGAUGACCUCUUUCUUUGCCCACGACCACCCCAGCUGCCACCCAGGUGCAGGUAUGUGUCGGAACUGCUGGUAGUUAAACAUUGUGACUGUUGCCUGCACAUGACAAGUUUGGGAAAAAAAGAUCAUGAUCCAAGUAGAGGUGACCGGAUAUCCAAAAUCUGCUGGUAAUUGCACUUGGUGGCUACUAUAUUGUUUGUGGCAAAGUUUGUGACCAACUAUUAGCCAUGCUACUUGUCAAGGUCAAAUCAUGAGCUAAUAUAUAAUAGGCUAAUAGGUUGAGAUGGAAGACAGAGCUGUUGAUGUGAAGAGGUGCUACUUACAACAUAACCAUCAGGAGUCCACGAAAUAAUAUCCCAUUUUAUGGUGAUGUUGCCAUUUGGAUCCAGCGAAUCAUAAGCCUCUGCGUGAACAAACAAACAAAGGGUGCAUAGAUCAGAUACUCAUAUGGAAACAAACUAAAGAAAGAAGUUCAAUCGACAUGCUAGAUGCACUCUAUGUUACGGAGUACACCAUAAUUGCAGUUUGCAGGAUCUAUCCGCUGGAUACUUUCUAGCAGCAAAACAAUUGGUCGACAUGUUUUUUACUGAUUCGCUUCCCUCCUGGACAGAUCUAUCGCCACAGAGCUCGACACGAGCAAGUGUGAACAAGAAUCAGCAGAAUGGCAGCGGGGAAGCUUGACAGAUCGCUCGUCCCACAGAUAUGGAUAGCUUCCUAAUUUGGCUUCAGAAUGCGGACAAGCUCGAAAUGAACGGACAGAAUUAACCCGGUGGGAUCAAAAUUAGAAGCCACCGACACCGACAGCACUAACUAAACUGGAAUGGGCAUUUGACCCGCGCGCAGAGCAGAACCGUGCGACCGCCUUGAUCUCAGCGAUGCUCCGCGGCGAUCGGGAUCCGUAUACCGAGUCGCCGGCUCCCGGCACGACGACGAGGCACGAGAAGGAGAGAGAGGAGGACCGGGCGGGCGGGAAGGAGGGGAG
rnacentral:lncRNA from 1 species